rnacentral:lncRNA from 1 species
AGAGGUUAUCAACAAAUUAUAAGUUUACGGGUACCAUGAGGAUUUUUCAUGCAUUUAAACGACAGAAGUACAAGCGAACAGAUGACACAUUAAAGUGGCUGCAGAAGCUUGAAAAGUUAGAUAGAGCAGGGACAGUCAAAACAGUGGGAUAAUACUUCUAUGGUGUCCAACAUGUUUAGUCAGGUUGACAGAAGUGAAAGAUGGUCUGAUGGUACAAUGAUGUACAAAUGAUACUCUUUAACAAGUUUAACAUGUCAAAGUGUAAAAUGUUCUGUGGAUUCAUAUGAUGAGAAUGCCAAUGUUGAUCUGUAUGACUUAAUUAA